GACAGAGGCCACUACCGUUGUUCGGAAUCACUGGGCAUAAAGCGCACGUAGGCGGCUAGUUCCGUCCGAUGUGAAAGCCCCCGGCUCAACCGGGGAAUGGCAUCGGAUACAGCCUGGCUUGAGGACGGUUGGGGUGAGUGGAACUCCUGGUGGAGCGGUGAAAUGCGUAGAUAUCAGGAGGAACACCGGUGGCGAAAGCGGCUCCCUGGACCGUUACUGACGCUGAGGUGCGAAAGCUAGGGGAGCAAACAGG
rnacentral:rRNA from 1 species